CAGGCUUAACACAUGCAAGUCGAGGGGCAUCAGGAAGAAAGCUUGCUUUCUUUGCUGGCGACCGGCGCACGGGUGAGUAACACGUAUCCAACCUGCCCUUUACUCGGGGAUAGCCUUUCGAAAGAAAGAUUAAUACCCGAUAGCAUAAUGAUUCCGCAUGGUUUCAUUAUUAAAGGAUUCCGGUAAAGGAUGGGGAUGCGUUCCAUUAGGUUGUUGGUGAGGUAACGGCCCACCAAGCCUUCGAUGGAUAGGGGUUCUGAGAGGAAGGUCCCCCACAUUGGAACUGAGACACGGUCCAAACUCCUACGGGAGGCAGCAGUGAGGAAUAUUGGUCAAUGGGCGCUAGCCUGAACCAGCCAAGUAGCGUGAAGGAUGAAGGCUCUAUGGGUCGUAAACUUCUUUUAUAUAAGAAUAAAGUGCAGUAUGUAUACUGUUUUGUAUGUAUUAUAUGAAUAAGGAUCGGCUAACUCCGUGCCAGCAGCCGCGGUAAUACGGAGGAUCCGAGCGUUAUCCGGAUUUAUUGGGUUUAAAGGGAGCGUAGGUGGACUGGUAAGUCAGUUGUGAAAGUUUGCGGCUCAACCGUAAAAUUGCAGUUGAUACUGUCAGUCUUGAGUACAGUAGAGGUGGGCGGAAUUCGUGGUGUAGCGGUGAAAUGCUUAGAUAUCACGAAGAACUCCGAUUGCGAAGGCAGCUCACUGGACUGCAACUGACACUGAUGCUCGAAAGUGUGGGUAUCAAACAGGAUUAGAUACCCUGGUAGUCCACACAGUAAACGAUGAAUACUCGCUGUUUGCGAUAUACAGUAAGCGGCCAAGCGAAAGCAUUAAGUAUUCCACCUGGGGAGUACGCCGGCAACGGUGAAACUCAAAGGAAUUGACGGGGGCCCGCACAAGCGGAGGAACAUGUGGUUUAAUUCGAUGAUACGCGAGGAACCUUACCCGGGCUUAAAUUGCAGUGGAAUGAUGUGGAAACAUGUCAGUGAGCAAUCACCGCUGUGAAGGUGCUGCAUGGUUGUCGUCAGCUCGUGCCGUGAGGUGUCGGCUUAAGUGCCAUAACGAGCGCAACCCUUAUCUUCAGUUACUAACAGGUCAUGCUGAGGACUCUGGAGAGACUGCCGUCGUAAGAUGUGAGGAAGGUGGGGAUGACGUCAAAUCAGCACGGCCCUUACGUCCGGGGCUACACACGUGUUACAAUGGGGGGUACAGAAGGCAGCUAGCGGGUGACCGUAUGCUAAUCCCAAAAGCCUCUCUCAGUUCGGAUCGAAGUCUGCAACCCGACUUCGUGAAGCUGGAUUCGCUAGUAAUCGCGCAUCAGCCACGGCGCGGUGAAUACGUUCCCGGGCCUUGUACACACCGCCCGUCAAGCCAUGGGAGCCGGGGGUACCUGAAGUACGUAACCGCAAGGAUCGUCCUAGGGUAAAACUGGUGACUGGGGCUAA
rnacentral:rRNA from 1 species